rnacentral:precursor_RNA from 13 species
CAAACAAACCCAAAACUGGCCUGUGCUGUCUGGGAGAGGUCCCCAGGUGGCAAUGGGCAGUAUGUUUCCUGUCAACUGGGUCUCUCCUAGAUAGGGGAAGCCACUCCCAGCUCAGAAGGGC